rnacentral:lncRNA from 1 species
ACAUUUGUUUGGGGAAAAGGUGUUGAUGUUCCUGGCAUAGCAAAAUUUGUUUGGGGAAGAGGUGUUGAAGCUCCUGGCAUAGGAAAAUUUGUUUGGGGAAGAGGUGUUGAAGCUUCUGGCAUAGCAAAAUUUGUUUGGGGAAGAGGAGUUGAAGUUCCUGGCAUAGCAAAAUUUGUUUGGGGAAGAGGUGUUGAAGUUCCUGGCAUAGCAAACUCUGCUUCAUCCUGCUUCCUGUGAUAUGGUCUUCUAGGUGUCUCGUGUGUUAAAUGAAACCUUCCAAUGUCUC